UCAAUCCAAAAAAAUUUAUGGAAUUCGGAAAGACAGAAGGAUUCUUCGGAUCUAGUCAUACCAUUCCAUUCUA
rnacentral:tRNA from 1 species